rnacentral:rRNA from 1 species
GGGCCCGCACAAGCGGUGGAGCAUGUGGUUUAAUUCGAUGCAACGCGAAGAACCUUACCUACCCUUGACAUCCAGAGAAGUUGGCAGAGAUGCCUUCGUGCCUUCGGGAGCUCUGAGACAGGUGCUGCAUGGCUGUCGUCAGCUCGUGUUGUGAAAUGUUGGGUUAAGUCCCGUAACGAGCGCAACCCUUGUCCUUAUUUGCCAGCGAUUCGGUCGGGAACUCUAAGGAGACUGCCGGUGACAAACCGGAGGAAGGUGGGGACGACGUCAAGUCAUCAUGGCCCUUACGGGUAGGGCUACACACGUGCUACAAUGGCCGGUACAAAGGGUUGCGAGACCGCGAGGUGGAGCGAAUCCCAGAAAGCCGGCCUCAGUCCGGAUCGGAGUCUGCAACUCGACUCCGUGAAGUCGGAAUCGCUAGUAAUCG